rnacentral:lncRNA from 1 species
AAUUAUAUGAGUUAUCUGGAAAAAGAGAAGAAAUACUGGCAAAGCUUGAAUCUGUUCAGGAAGAAUUAUAUGAAACUUCAGCUUCUGAAGCUAUAUAUCCUGGCAUUUUCAGUGAGCAAACAUUACAUAAACUUUCUGAGGAAAAAAGAUAUUUGAUUGAAGAAUUAGGACAAACUACUAUUAAUCUACUAAAAGCAAAGAGUGUUGCUUCAGAAAGAGGUAUAAUUGGAAAAUCUACUGAAAAGGAAUUAUAUGACCUAUUAAUGAAGAAGAAAGAAUUGCAAGAAAAGUUGCAGUCCAAUGAGAAGGAAAUUGUGGAAGCUCAGAUUCUUGCAUCCAUCCAUCCAGG